CCACCCUUAAUUAAUCUGCUCAUUUGCUUCUAUAUACAUUUAUCUGUUCAUGUUGUUCCAGCAGGCUGACACACUGCGAAGGGAGACGGGCAUCGCUUUCAGUCUUGCACAUCUGAUGUAGCUGACAGUGAUUUGAAGCCAAGGUGACGGCAGCUUCGAUGCCCCCAAUUCUGCCUGGAUUUGGCAAACUUUGGCAAAAUGCUUCAUCAAAACAGUCAGCAGAUGUAGCGGCUGGAGGGUCUUCUGUAGGUGUUUCUACCUGGUCUUCAAUAAAAUGAAAGAAGAGGCAACAGCAAAUAUAAUUCAGAUUGAAUGGAAGAAAACCACUUCUUUAAUGAUGGUGACCAAGCACUGGAAAAGGUGCCCGGAGGUGUGACAGGAUCUCUAUCCUUGGACAGUUUAAAGUUCAUGUGAAGAAGGCCUUGAGCAGCCAGAUCCUCCUUGAAGUCAGUGGCUUUCUGCAGCAGCACAGUGAAGCUCUUCCUCACUUUCUGUCUCUGUUCCCCUAUCACCUGUCUGUGCAAGAGAUGUGGGUUUGGAAGGUGAUUUACAGCUGCAUCAUUUGGCAGAGAGCUCUGCUAAUGCAUGACUGUGCUAAAGCCACUCGUGGGAAGGCAGCUCGGCUGCAGUGUGGAUUUCGGGUGCUUGUGCAGGCAGGAUCUGCCACCCAGCACCUCCAAGUGCUCGCCAUCCAGCACACACAUCAGUGGCACCAUCCUUUCCUUGCCAGCGAGGAUGAAUAAAGCUUAUGGCCAAAGCCCUGUGCUUAGA